rnacentral:tRNA from 2 species
GGGGGCUUAGCUCAGUUGGUAGAGCGGCGCCCUUACAAGGCGUAGGUCGGGAGUUCGAGCCUCUCAGCCCCUACCA